UACGUAGGGUGCGAGCGUUGUCCGGAUUUAUUGGGUUUAAAGGGUGCGUAGACGGCUUUUUAAGUCAGUGGUGAAAGACGGCAGCUUAACUGUCGCAGUGCCAUUGAUACUGGAAGGCUUGAGUAUAGUUGAGGUAGGCGGAAUUUAUGGUGUAGCGGUGAAAUGCAUAGAUACCAUAAAGAACACCGAUAGCGAAGGCAGCUUACUCAACUAUAACUGACGUUGAGGCACGAAAGCAUGGGGAUCGAACAGG
rnacentral:rRNA from 1 species